GGGCGAUUAGCUCAGUUGGUAGAGCGACCCCUUGACGUGGGGUAGGCCACAGGUUCGAGUCCUGUAUCGCCCACCA
rnacentral:tRNA from 2 species